rnacentral:rRNA from 1 species
GGAAUCUUCCACAAUGGGCGAAAGUCUGAUGGAGCAACGCCGCGUGUGUGAUGAAGGGUUUCGGCUCGUAAAACACUGUUGUAAGAGAAGAAUGACAUUGAGAGUAACUGUUCAAUGUGUGACGGUAUCUUACCAGAAAGGAACGGCUAAAUACGUGCCAG